AUGUCAUGAUGUGGACACUUCCUAAGCAAGUCAUUGAGGCACUUCCAUGCCUCAUGAAAUAAUUCCCCAUCCUCGUGAGAAAAUUCACGAAUGGAAGUUCUCAUUGU